UGAGGAAUAUUGGUCAAUGGACGCAAGUCUGAACCAGCCAAGUAGCGUGCAGGAUGACGGCCCUAUGGGUUGUAAACUGCUUUUAUAUGGGGAUAAAGUGGGGAACGUGUUCCCUUUUGCAGGUACCAUAUGAAUAAGGACCGGCUAAUUCCGUGCCAGCAGCCGCGGUAAUACGGAAGGUUCGGGCGUUAUCCGGAUUUAUUGGGUUUAAAGGGAGCGUAGGCCGUUUGGUAAGCGUGUUGUGAAAUGUAGGAGCUCAACUUCUAGAUUGCAGCGCGAACUGUCAGACUCGAGUGCGCACAACGUAGGCGGAAUUCAUGGUGUAGCGGUGAAAUGCUUAGAUAUCAUGAAGAACUCCGAUUGCGAAGGCAGCUUACGGGAGCGCAACUGACGCUGAAGCUCGAAGAUGCGGGUAUCGAACAGG
rnacentral:rRNA from 1 species